rnacentral:rRNA from 1 species
CAGCAGCCGCGGUAAUACGAAGGGGGCUAGCGUUGCUCGGAAUUACUGGGCGUAAGGGGAGCGUAGGCGGAUGUUUAAGUCAGAGGUGAAAGCCCAGGGCCCAACCUUGGAACUGCCUUUGAUACUGGACAUCUUGAGUGUGGGAGAGGUAAGCGGAACUCCGAGUGUAGAGGUGAAAUUCGUAGAUAUUCGGAAGAACACCAGUGGCGAAGGCGGCCUACUGGCCCAUUACUGACGCUGAGGCUCGAAAGCGUGGGGAGCAAACAGGAUUAGAUACCCCCGUAGUCCCUGUCUCUUAUAC